rnacentral:rRNA from 1 species
AGAGUUUGAUUCUGGCUCAGGACGAACGCUGGCGGCGUGCCUAAUACAUGCAAGUCGUACGCUUCUUUUUCCACCGGAGCUUGCUCCACCGGAAAAAGAGGAGUGGCGAACGGGUGAGUAACACGUGGGUAACCUGCCCAUCAGAAGGGGAUAACACUUGGAAACAGGUGCUAAUACCGUAUAACAAUCGAAACCGCAUGGUUUUGAUUUGAAAGGCGCUUUCGGGUGUCGCUGAUGGAUGGACCCGCGGUGCAUUAGCUAGUUGGUGAGGUAACGGCUCACCAAGGCCACGAUGCAUAGCCGACCUGAGAGGGUGAUCGGCCACAUUGGGACUGAGACACGGCCCAAACUCCUACGGGAGGCAGCAGUAGGGAAUCUUCGGCAAUGGACGAAAGUCUGACCGAGCAACGCCGCGUGAGUGAAGAAGGUUUUCGGAUCGUAAAACUCUGUUGUUAGAGAAGAAUAAGGAUGAGAGUAACUGUUCAUCCCUUGACGGUAUCUAACCAGAAAGCCACGGCUAACUACGUGCCAGCAGCCGCGGUAAUACGUAGGUGGCAAGCGUUGUCCGGAUUUAUUGGGCGUAAAGCGAGCGCAGGCGGUUUCUUAAGUCUGAUGUGAAAGCCCCCGGCUCAACCGGGGAGGGUCAUUGGAAACUGGGAGACUUGAGUGCAGAAGAGGAGAGUGGAAUUCCAUGUGUAGCGGUGAAAUGCGUAGAUAUAUGGAGGAACACCAGUGGCGAAGGCGGCUCUCUGGUCUGUAACUGACGCUGAGGCUCGAAAGCGUGGGGAGCAAAAAGGAUCAGAUACCCUGGUAGUCCACGCCGUAAACG